CCAGACUCCUACGGGAGGCAGCAGUGGGGAAUUUUGGACAAUGGGCGCAAGCCUGAUCCAGCUAUUCCGCGUGUGGGAAGACGGCCUUCGGGUUGUAAACCACUUUUGUAGAGAACGAAAAGUCUGUUGAUAAUACCGAUAGAUGAUGACGGUACUCUAAGAAUAAGCACCGGCUAACUACGUGCCAGCAGCCGCGGUAAUACGGAGGAUGCGAGCGUUAUCCGGAUUUAUUGGGUUUAAAGGGUGCGUAGGCGGGAUGCCAAGUAGGCGGUCAAAUACGGGGGCUCAACCUGCGUCCGCCGUUGAAACUGGCGUUCUUGAGUGGGCGAGAAGUACGCGGAAUGCGUGGUGUAGCGGUGAAAUGCAUAGAUAUCACGCAGAACCCCGAUUGCGAAGGCAGCGUACCGGCGCCCAACUGACGCUGAAGCACGAAAGCGUGGGUAUCGAACAGGAUUAGAUACCCCGGUA
rnacentral:rRNA from 1 species